rnacentral:rRNA from 1 species
GACGAACGCUGGCGGCGUGCCUAAUACAUGCAAGUCGAACGCAGUGGGGACGGGUGAGUAACACGUGGGUAACCUCCCAUCAGAGGGGAUAACACUUGGAAACAGGUGCUAAACCGAUACUGAUGGAUGGACUCGCGGUGCAUUAGCUAGUUGGUGAGGUAACGGCUCACCAAGGCCACGAUGCAUAGCCGACCGGAGAGGCUGAUCGGCCACACGGGGACGGAGACAUGGGCCAGACUACUACGGGAGGCAGUAGUAGGGAAUCUUCGGGAAGAGACGAAAGUCAGACCGAGCAAUGCAGCGUGAGUGAAGAAGGUUUUCGGAUCGUAAAACUCUGUUGUUAGAGAAGCGGUAUCUAACCAGAAAGCCCCGGCUAACUCCGUGCCAGCAGCCGCGGUAAUAC